CCUACGGGUGGCAGCAGUGGGGAAUAUUGGACAAUGGGGGCAACCCUGAUCCAGCCAUGCCGCGUGUGUGAAGAAGGCCCUCGGGUUGUAAAGCACUUUCAGUGAGCAAGAACGCCUGGUGGUUAAUACCCAUCAGGAAAGACAUCACUCACAGAAGAAGCACCGGCUAACUCCGUGCCAGCAGCCGCGGUAAUACGGAGGGUGCGAGCGUUAAUCGGAAUUACUGGGCGUAAAGCGCGCGUAGGUGGCUUGAUAAGCCGGUUGUGAAAGCCCCGGGCUCAACCUGGGAACGGCAUCCGGAACUGUCAAGCUAGAGUGCAGGAGAGGAAGGUAGAAUUCCCGGUGUAGCGGUGAAAUGCGUAGAGAUCGGGAGGAAUACCAGUGGCGAAGGCGGCCUUCUGGACUGACACUGACACUGAGGUGCGAAAGCGUGGGUAGCAAACAGGAUUAGAUACCCCUGUAGUC
rnacentral:rRNA from 1 species